AGUGUGUCUGGAGGGGUGCACAGGGAGUGGCACGGCAAAGGGAAUUGCCCCUCAGGAACAGAGGGUUAUGUCAGAGGGGAGGCGCAAACCAGGUCGCAUAGCACUUUCUAGGACGUAAUAAAGAGUAUGGAUUCUAUGUUGCCAUGGGAAGCCAGCAUCUUGCAUGAGGUGGUUAAGUGCUGAGAGAAGAUAAGUCAGGUUAAGGGGCUAGAGAGAGACUGGAAGGCUGGGGAGGCUAUUUGAAACAAAUGGGCAGAGGAGCUCUCUCUGAGGAAGUGACUUUAGGGCUGAGUCUUGAAAUAUCUGAAGCAGCAACCAUGCAGAUUUCUGGGAUAAGCCAGUUCCAGAUAGAGAAAAUAGCACUGAAGUGGGAAUAAGCAUGACAUAUCCUGUGAAGAGCAAGAAGGUCAGCGUGGCCAGGGCACAAUACCAGAGGAAGCAGGGGGAGGAGGCCAGCCCUGCGGAAGCCGUGGGACAGUACUUGGCUUUUAUUCUAAAUACACUGGAAAGAUUUUCGAGGACUGGUAAACACCCAGGAGCAGGAUUGCUGGGUCAUAUGGUUCUAUAGUUUCCUCAGAGCAACGAGUUGGAGUGUGUUUCUUUCAUCUGACCCCAUAUUCUUUGAGUCAAUUCAAAGAAGAGCAUAGGGCCUGAUAUAUGGAACCAUCUUAUCUUCCACCAUCACUAUCAUUCCAUCUCCAUGAGCUUAUCUUCCACCACCACUCCAUCUCCAUGAGUUCCAUAGAGAUGCCCUGCAGAAUGCACAUUUUCCCCCUGGAUUGCAAAUAAUCUGAACUAGGGUAAAACCAUUACAAAGUGGCCUUCAAACAUCAUGUCUGUAUUGGAACUGAAUGAUUGAUCAGACAUUUAAAUACGGAAACUGGGAAUUCAGCUGACCAGAAUUUCACCAGGGUGACAUGACAGUUUGUUGCUAAGGAACUGAAGACUGUGUCAUAAGUGAGCAUUCUGAUGAAGAGGAGUGAACAGUUUGCAGCAGAUUGGAUAUUAAGUAUAAAUCAGCUCUCUGUGUAUGUCCCUGUUUGGUGGUAUAACUGACAACAGAUAGGGUUCCUGAUGGGAUUGGGUUCCACCAAUCAGAGCCACUUGCAUGAGACCUCAACUGAGAGCCAGGAUCCAAGCAGCCUCCCUAAGCUGAGGUAAGGGGCAGCAGCCACUUCCUCUCUGGAGAGCCAGGAAGGACACCUCCUCUCACUCCCUGGAAACAGAACAGCAGGCUGCUGACCUUCACCCGGCCACCAGUGCUCCACCCUGAACUCGAGAUUCCAGGAUGCAAGACAGAGGCUUCAGGAGGAGAGAGAUUUCUCCUUGGAAAGCUGGAAGAGCUGAGAGGAGAGUAGGAGGCAAUGAGGAGGGGCCUGCAGCAGGUCUCAGGGACUGUACGGGGCGUGGACCUGCGCUGUACUUUUGCCCCCUGACCCUCGUUCCUGAUGCUUUUCUCAGCUUGGUUCUCCAGCCUUCUGAUAAUUCCAUAGGCUGCUGGAUAGAUAGCUUUCCAGUAAAUUCCCUUUCUGCUUAAGUUAACCAGAUUUGGGGUCUGUUGUUUGUAACCAAGAGUCCUACCUGAUACUGUGUAAGAUACAGCCAGAGAGGAAAUUAUCCCCAAAAUAUAUUUUUUAAAAUCUGCCUACACAAAUAUACUAACCACGGCAUUAUUUAAAACUGUGCAGGUGGAAACCACUGGACAGUAGUGACAUGGUUAAAUGGAGUCUGAUCCAUUCACUCAGAAAAACAAGCAAUCAUCAGAAUAAUGGGUAUGAAGACGAUGCAAUGACAAGGGAAGUGCUGCUGAGAUUGACUGACAAAUGACAACAGGAUAAGAAACUGAAUGUGCAAGAUGUGCCCCUCUCCUCCUACGAAGAAUAGAGGCUCCCUAGGAGCUAGACUUUUGAUCUAUUUUGUUCAGGAUCCUAUCUCCAGCAAGUGGCAAUGGUGUUUGAAGAGGAGGGGCUCACUCUAAAUCUUGAAGAUGUUCAGCCUCGAAAAACUAGAAGUCAUUGUGACCAAAGAUGAUGCCACCACACCUUUGAAAAAGAAAGGUGAUGAGCCUCAAAAGGAAAAACACAUUCAAGAAAGGUCAAUGCUAAUGAGUAUGAAUGAACACAUAGCAAAAACUUCAGAUACAACAGCCAUGCCAAGGGCUGGUGGGACAGGUGAGGCUGAGUGAAUAAAAAGAAGUAGCCCCAGAGACACUCAAGGUGGUUCCAGCUGCUUUGAAGGAGGUUUCUUUCUAAGAGGUGGCUGGGCUUGGUUUCAGUGUAUUCCAAUUUGGGACUCAUGAAUUGCAACUGAUAAAGAUCAAAAAACUGAUACAGAAAUUGUUUUAUAAAACAUUCAAAAUGCCUGCAGCGACCUUGACAAGAGCAGACAUUAGGAGGCUCCCUGACAGCUGAGAACACUGUGUGAUGCCCCUCAGAAGUUAGUUGUGAAGCCCUGUGGGGAGAUCUUUGGCUGCACAGGGGAGAGGAUGGUGGGGAGGGGGGCAGGCAUCAUUGUCACUAUUAUGGUAGGUAGGGCUGCUGCUCCUCUGCCUGAAACAGAGAAGAAGGUGUCAGGAAGAUCCUAAAGAGAAGGACCCUGGCACAGGCAGACUGGGUGGAGGUGGCAUGGGAGGCAGCGAGUUCUAACUCCUUAAAUAAUGCUUUAUCACUACUCAGGAACUGUUACGGGAAGCUCAGAGUUGUGUUUCUCACCAAUAAUCUUAGAGAAAUCACUUCAAAAAAGAGAUUAAAGAAAAGGUUGCAGGUUUCAGUAAAGGGUUCCGUUUGGCAAAGUAU